rnacentral:misc_RNA from 1 species
CUGCCCUGUCUGUCUCUCCACCUCCUUGAAAGUGUAGCAGCCACUAUGUUUUCCUUUCCUUGCUUGUAUUGGACGACAUAGGGAAAAGACUCAAUGAAUUUCAUCCACCUUGCAUGCCUCUUGUUUAACUUGCCUUGCGCCUUGAUGUGCUUCAAAGCUUGAUGAUCCGAAUGUAUAAUGAACUCCUUUGGCCAAAGAUAGUGUUGCCAAGUCUCCAAAGCGUGAACCAAAGCAUAAAGCUCCUUGUCAUAGGUGGAAUAAUUCAAGGUGGCUCCAUUGAGCUUCUCACUGAAGUAUGCAACUGGUUUCCUUUCCUGCAUCAAAAUGGCACCAAUACCUUUCCCAAAAGCAUCACAUUUAAUUUCAAAAGCUUUGGAAAAAUUAGGUAGAACAAGUAAUAGAGCAGUGCACAACUUAUGUUUCAAUUCAUUGAAAGCACAUUGUUGAUCUUCUCUCCAUACAAAAGACACGUUCU